UACAGAGGUCCCAAGCGUUGUUCGGAUUCACUGGGCGUAAAGGGUGCGUAGGUGGCCAGGUAAGUUUGGUGUGAAAGCUCGGAGCUUAACUCCGAAAAGUCAUUGAAUACUAUCUGGCUGGAGGGUCGGAGGGGAGACUGGAAUUCUCGGUGUAGCAGUGAAAUGCGCAGACUAUCAGGAAGAACACCCGUGGCGAAGGCGGCUCUCUGGGGGACGGUACUGGACGCUGAGACGCGAAAGCGUGGGGGAGC
rnacentral:rRNA from 1 species